rnacentral:sRNA from 1 species
UACUGAUCUAUUUCUGUGCCAAUACCACCUACUGUAACUUUAAAAUAGGUUUUUGUUUAUACCAAGUAAGAAUAAGUUACCAUUAUUUUUCCGUUAAUUUUUUGUUUGUUUGUUUGUUUGAGACAAGGUCUCACUCUGUCACUCUGUUGCCCAGGCUGGAGUGCAGUGGCACGAUCUCAGCUCACUGUAACCUCUGCCUCCCUGCUUCAAGUGAUUCUCCCACCUCAUCCUCCCAAGUAACUGGGACUACAGAUGUGUGCCACCACACCUGGCUAAUCUUUAUAUUUUUAGUAGAGAGGGGUGUUUCACCAUGUUGGCCAGGCUAGUCUCGAACUUGUGACCUCAAAUGAUCCUCCCGCCUCCGCCUCCCAAAGUGCUGGGAUUACUGGUGUGAGCCAUGGAGGCUGGCCUGAGUAUUCUAGUUUGUAACUUACAAGGUCAUUCAUAUGUAUAUGUUGUUGUGCUUGUCUAGCUAUUUUAUAUUUUGUUAUUCUGAACUCUUGGCCUCUAUUUCAGCUCCAGCCCCUGAAAGCGCAGGAUUGCUUUUGCUCUGCCAGUCGGCCUUUUUUGGGAAAUCACAUCAAGAUGGUUCUUCCAGCACAAUUACUUCCUAGAGUGUCUGCUUGACCCAUGAAAACUCACAGAUUUUUGGCAUGCCAAACAGAGGAUUAUCCUGCCAUCACUGCUGGCUCCAGCCACAGACUUCGGUUCUCUUAACUGUUAGAACCUUUGUCCUCUGACUGGUGGAAAUGGAGCUUGCUUCUUUUUGUUUUGCCUGCCACUAGGCUGGCAGCCUCCACCUCUUGACCCUUGGGUUUCUUAUCCUUGGAAUCAGAUAUGAGGCCCUGUGUCUUCUGUUGCUGUAGAGGACACAAGUCAUAUUCUCUGAGUGGAGAUCUCUUUGAAGCUCCUCUUUCCAGGCUUGUACUGAGGGACCUCUGGACCCUCUACCACGUGAUGUCAAAGCUGCCAAGAGCUGUCGCAUGCCGGGUCUGUAAAUUGACUUUCUCACCUCUGACCAGAUGCAUUCACUUGAGCAGCACAGAGAUUUGGGGGAGUGAAAGGGCACUGUUUCUUUGGGUCCAUGGCUUGUGUCCCAUCCCUUAGCCUUGGGGUUAGCAGGAUUCAGAAUUUAUGAGCUUGGUCUGCAAAAGUCUACCUCUGCCAGAUGGGGGAGAACCUAGUAUGUGGACCUGAAGGGUUAGCUCUGUGCUUUAGUCCCUGGGAGCGGCCAUCCUGAGUCUUGGUGGGCUUGGCAAGUAAGGAGACAUUGACCAGAUUCAAAGCUUCCAGAGGCGGUGAGAACUCCAGGGCCCAGUAAUGGAGAGUACAAAGGUCCUUCUUAGCCCCCAUGACCCUUCCAAGCCAAGAACUUGGCAGUAGCUGUGAGUAGCAGAGAUAGGCAGAGGAGGUGAGGGGCACCUAUAGCUCUUAGCCAUGAGUUAUGACUCCCUCCAUCCAAGGGAGACCUAAGGACAUGAAAGGGGACUCAGUUCUAGGGAUCAGAGGGAACUUGGGUUGUUUUGGGAUAAUGACUGUGGCUUGGGAUGUCACGGAGAUGAACACCAGAAUUGGUGUGCAACAGAUGAGCUCCAGUACCCUUGAUGGUUUGCAUGGGUUUUGCUCUGCUGAUGAUGGUCAGGGACAGCAGUGAGGCCCUCUACAAUGCUGCCUUUUGCCUAAACACAGGCAGUGCCCACAAAAGGGGAGCUGUCAUUAUGGAGCCUAGGAAUGGAUAGUCAGAGAGCAGCAGCUGGGCAGUGCAACUCCUGCAUUGGACAAGGUCCUGGCUAGAGAAUGUCAAUGUCCACACUGCAUGUAGCCCUAUCGAGGAGAUGAUGUAGGGGGCUGUCAGCCUUGGAGACUCUAGCCUAAGUACCCCACCACCACUCUAGCUGGGUUCUGAGGGCACAAAUCAGCUUUCUGAAUCUGACUUGGCUUCCUGUGAUCUGCAUUCAUGAACAUUCUUACUAGAGUUCUCAUGGAAAAUGAAUACACAACCAUUUGGUCUGAAUGUCAGUCUGAGUUUGGUGUCUCCAAAACAAUUCUCUGGAUUAGAUGGAGAAUGAAGAAACUUCACAAAGGCAAAAGGACAGGUCCCCAUCCCGACCCCCAGAGACCACUUCUCAGAGUCUCCAUCUGUUCAUCUCUGGUGUUAGCCACUUUCCUUUACUUUCCCUCAUUUCUGUAGCCACUCCUGUGGAUUCCUGUCUUUCAACCUGCAGGCUGCUGCUGCCCUGCCUCAGACCCUUGUAGGCUUCUGUAGAGAUGCUACUCAGAUGGGGGUGGAGCUAGAUGCAGAGCUGAAACCUACCUAGGAGAUCUACCUUGGAGAGCUUGUGAAUCUUAGGAGAGCUAGGCAUAAAAUGACUAAAGCUUGUCACCGCAUGAGAUAAAAUAAAUGAAAAGCCACUUCUGGAGGGAAUGGGGCAGUCUGUCUUUAUUGGAGAGAUACAUAUUGUUGAACAGCUCUGGGCAGUUGAUUGUGUGCCUGGGAGAGCUAACCAUGUUUACUCUACACUUGACCUGUGAUGGUCUGUAUUGAUUGUAUCACACGCUUAGCUUUCUAAGGCUAACCAGGUCAUCAUCCUCAGUCCCUGCCUGCAACUAGGUUGCCAACUGGCCCUUGAUUUCCCACCCAACUUGUUCAGUUUGCCCUCAAUCCUGGGGCUUCACUAAUUUCCCAAAAAGAUAUGGUUGGUACCACCUGUAGUUUGCUGUUUCGUGUUAGCCUGACUUUUGGGAAACUCAAACAUUUUUCAAACGCAUUGACCACUUUUACUCUAUGACUUCUGCUUUGCAUAAUCGUUUGCUUGGUCACCCAUCAUGCUGCUUUCUGGUGAGCUGAAAGGAAAAUAAAUGGUCUAAACUGAGCAACAAGAAAGCAAACUUCUUUUAAGCAGGUACUUUCCAAGUGAAAUG